AGAGUUUGAUCAUGGCUCAGGAUGAACGCUGGCGGCGUGCCUAAUACAUGCAAGUCGAACGAGGUGCUUUUGUAGCAAUACGAAAGUAUCCUAGUGGCGAACGGGUGAGUAACGCGUUGGUGACCUACCCCAAAGUGUGGGAUAACAGUCCGAAAGGAUUGCUAAUACCGCAUGUGGUCUUCGGGUUUAGAAACUGAUGACUAAAGGAGCAAUUCGCUUUGGGAGGGACCUGCGUCCCAUCAGCUAGUUGGUGAGGUAACGGCUCACCAAGGCGACGACGGGUAGGGGACCUGAGAGGGUGGCCCCCCACAAUGGAACUGAAACACGGUCCAUACACCUACGGGUGGCAGCAGUAGGGAAUAUUGGUCAAUGGGCGAAAGCCUGAACCAGCAACGCCGCGUGUGCGAUGAAGGCCUUCGGGUCGUAAAGCACUUUUCUGGGAGAUGAGAAAGGACAGUAUCCCAGGAAUAAGUCUCGGCUAACUACGUGCCAGCAGCCGCGGUAAAACGUAGGAGGCGAGCGUUAUCCGGAUUCACUGGGCGUAAAGCGCGUGCAGGUGGCUUGGUAAGUUAGGCGUGAAAUCUCCCGGCUCAACUGGGAGAGGUCGUCUAAUACUACCGGGCUUGAGAGCAGAAGAGGAAGAUGGAAUUCCCGGUGUAGUGGUGAAAUGCGUAGAUAUCGGGAGGAACACCAGUGGCGAAGGCGAUCUUCUGGUCUGUUUCUGACACUCAGACGCGACAGCUAGGGUAGUAAACGGGAUUAGAGACCCCGGUAAUCCUAGCCGUAAACGAUGUGAACUUGGCGUUGGUGGGUUAAACUCCAUCAGUGCCGCAGCAAACGCGAUAAGUUCACCGCCUGGGGACUACGGCCGCAAGGUUAAAACUCAAAGGAAUUGACGG
rnacentral:rRNA from 1 species